UACGGGGGGGGCAAGCGUUGUUCGGAAUUACUGGGCGUAAAGGGUUUGUAGGUGGCCCGCUAAGUCACACGUGAAAAUCCCUCAGCUUAACUGGGGAACUGCGUGUGAGACUGGCAGGCUCGAGGGCAGGAGAGGAACGCGGAAUUCCAGGUGUAGCGGUGAAAUGCGUAGAUAUCUGGAGGAACACCGGUGGCGAAGGCGGCGUUCUGGACUGUCUCUGACACUGAAGAACGGAAAGCCAGGGGAGCAAACCGGGG
rnacentral:rRNA from 1 species